rnacentral:tRNA from 1 species
GAUUCACUAGCUCAGUCGGUAGAGCACCUGACUUUUAAUCAGGUUGUCCGGGGUUCGAUUCCCCGGUGAGUCACCA